rnacentral:tRNA from 1 species
GGUGAUGUAGCUCAAUGGUAGAGCAUUUGUCUGGCAUGUGUAAGACCCUGGGUUCUACCCCAGCACUGCAA